rnacentral:rRNA from 1 species
CAAUAGCGUAUAUUAAAGUUGUUGCAGUUAGAACGCUCGUAGUCGGAUUUCGGGGCGGGCCGACCGGUCUGCCGAUGGGUAUGCACUGGUCGGCGCGUCCUUCCUUCCGGAGACCGUCCCUACUCUUAACUGAGCGGGGGCGGGAGACGGGACUUUUACUUUGAAAAAAUCAGAGUGUUUCAAGCAGGCAGCUCGCUCUUGCAUGGAUUAGCAUGGGAUAAUGAAAUAGGACUUUGGUUCUAUUUUGUUGGUUUCGAACACCGAAGUAAUGAUGAGAAGGGACAGUCAGGGGCACUCGUAUUCCGCCGAGAGAGGUGAAAUUCUCAGACCAGCGGAAGACGAACCACUGCGAAAGCAUUUGCCAGGGAUGUUUUCACUGA